rnacentral:tRNA from 1 species
GUCUGGCUGGCUCAGUCAGUAGAGCGUGUGACUCUUGAUCUCAGGGUCAUGAGUUCAAACCCCAUGUUGGGCG